rnacentral:rRNA from 1 species
UAUCUGGUUGAUCCUGCCAGUAGUCAUACGCUCGUCUCAAAGAUUAAGCCAUGCAUGUGUAAGUCUAAAUAGUUUUAGUGUGAAACUGCGAAUGGCUCAUUAUAUCAGUUAUAGUUUAUUUGGAUGAAUUUUUCUAUGGAUAACCGUAGUAAUUCUAGGGCUAAUACAUGUUGUAAUCUCUUUGAGAUUUUCUUAUUAGAAUAAAACCAAUUGUAUUAGUGAGUAAUAAUAAUAGAAUCGAUCGCAUGCUUUUGUAGCGAUAAUCCUUUCAAGUUUCUGCCCUAUCAGCUUUCGAUGGUAGUGUAUUGGACUACCAUGGCAGUAACGGGUAACGAAGAAUUUGGGUUCGAUUUCGGAGAGGGAGCCUGAGAGAUGGCUACCACAUCCAAGGAAGGCAGCAGGCGCGCAAAUUCCCCAAUCCUGACACAGGGAGGU